rnacentral:rRNA from 1 species
CAAUAAGCGGAGGAAGAUUCCGUAGGUGAACCUGCGGAUAUGCAUAUCAAUACGCGGAGGAAGACUCCGUAGGCGAAUGUGCGUCAUCUGCACAUCAAUCCGCGGAGAAAGACCCCGAAACCCCAUGGAUCAUGCAUGCAACGCCUAGACACCAUACCUAAUUAUUUACAACUUUCAACAAUGCAUCUCUUGGUUCUGGCAUCGAUGAAGAACGCAGCGAAAUGCGAUAAGUAGUGUGAAUUGCAGAAUUCAGUGAAUCAUCGAAUCUUUGAACGCACAUUGCGCCCCUUGGUAUUCCAUGGGGCAUGCCUGUUCGAGCGUCAUUUACACCCUCAAGCUCCGCUUGGUGUUGGGCGUCUGUCCGCGCUGUUUGCGUGGACUCGCCCCAAAGGUAUUGGCAGCGGUCUUGCCAGCUUCUCGCGCAGCACAUUGCGCUUCUGGAGGCUUCGGCGGAACGGCGUCCAUCAAGUCCACAUCCACAGUUUGACCUCAGAUCAGGUAGGGAUACCCGCUGAACUUAAGCAUAUCAAUAACCGGAGGAAAUUU